rnacentral:lncRNA from 1 species
UUAAUGGUCACCAUGGCAACGUGAGAAGGGAUCGCAUCCCCUACUGGUGGAUCUGUCCUGCAUCCUGGAGUCUCUGAAAACGGUCCUUCUAGAAGACUGCUGACAUCUGUCAGGUUGGACAGGAAGGAUGCGCUCAUAGAAAUGCUGGUGUGCACUUUGGACGGAGACCUCUACCCUCCCCUGGAGGAGCCCACUGGUACUGUAGACCCCAAGAAGAAGAAGGUCAAAGACGAGGUCAAGAGCUUUGUGUGGAACCAUGGCACUGGCCUCGCUUCAGGAGCAGCUGGACUCACUGAUCGAGAAGUGACCCAAGUGACCACCAGGGGGCAGCCAAGCGUCAAAUGGGUGCUGUGAGACCGGCUGGGGAAUAGAGAAGAAGCAUCUGCCACCACUGAAAGAGCACUCCUCCUUUACAUACAGUUUCAUUCCAUUAUAUAUUUUCCCUUUUGCCUCCAGACAUCAUGGACUUGUUGGAGGACUCGUGUUUCCUGUUUUUGUAUUCUUCCUAUUUUAUUUAAUAGGUUGGUAGAUCUCUGUAAAUAAACUCUUUGUUAAGCCAUUGAAUCGUUUGUGUUUGACAUUUCCUAGUGACGGAUCAACACUGUCUCACCUCAUUUGACCUAGCAAUGGAAACCACUGAGUCUGAC